UCACCGAAACCCUAACAAACCCGACCCGGAAUGGAGAACCGGACUCGGGUUCGGUGUCCGGAGAAUGAAGAACUGGCGUCGUUCAUGUGGAACACGUGGAUAGUCAUGGCUUCGCAACCGAAAGGUCUUUCCAAAGCUCAUUUCAAUGUCCGUAACUCUAAAAUCCCAAUUCGAACAGGUUUUUUUGGGACUGGGUCUGGAGGUAUUGAACCAGGGACCAGUUCUAGAGGCACUGAACCAGCUGACUUGACCAAAAAGGGAGAUCAUAUUCUGAGUUUGAUUAUUCACAUAUUUAUAGAGUGCAAGUGGUAGAAGAUUGAAUAAUAAAUAAAUGAACAUCAUGGUUGUGACUGGUUUUUGAUGAUUUUGUUCUGUUGACAU